UUACUUUGACCCCGUCCUUUCACUAGAGGAAACACAAUCGAGACCUUAAAAUGAUUCGGAAUACGACGGUGCUUAGUAUUCAUUUCUAUAGAACUUUAAGAUCUUCCCUCUUCAAGUUGUGAGGCACGCUUUUCCAAAGCUUUUCAGCACAACCCACUUCAAAAACAUUAUCUCGAUGAUUGCCAUUUUAUUUGCAAGUAAUGUGCUAUUUUUAAGCGAGGAACAGUAGUCAGUACUACAGCGCCCUCUAUUGAUAAAACCGAGAAGUUCACUUGAAAUAAAAGACCUACAAGGCCAGGCGUUCUUGUACAACUGGACGAUCGAGGUUGAAAUGUGAGCUAUUGCAAGUCUCAAAAUAGGACUGAAGAGGAAACUGCAUGAGUAUUAAAUGACCUUCAGUCCAUGCAGAAGGAGCAGGGACACUGCUGGUUUCAGUUUGAGUUCAGAGCUCGACACACUCAUUUUACCACUGAGGAAACUGAGGCAAACAGAGUUGAGUGACGUUUCUGGCCAGGAAGUAUCUGAGACUGUGCCCAUGAGUUGCUCUUCAGCCUGCAACACUCCCAGGUUCAAGUAGAUGAGAGAACUGAAGCAAAUGAGGUUAAGUGACUUGCCCUGGGGCACACAGAUAAUAAGUGUCUGAGGCCAGAUUUGAACUGCAGGCUUGACACUCUAUCCAUUGUACCAGAUGAGGAAAAUUCAAGGAAGUUAAGCGACUUGCCUGAUGUCACCCAAGUAAUAAGCAUUGGAAGUAAUCAAUGUCCAGAGAAAGCACACCACAGCUGGUGUUCUUUUCCAGUAUUAUUUCCUGGUCUAUAAAGUCAGAGACUUAGAGUAGUUUCCAAGGGGCUAUGCAGCUAUAGAUGUCAUAAGUAUGAUUCCAUUUUGUUUCUGUACAACUUUCUAGAGAAUCACUUGCUAAAUAAAGUAAUCAAACUGCAU
rnacentral:lncRNA from 1 species